rnacentral:rRNA from 1 species
UAUGGUCAAGUGAAGAAGCGCAUACGGUGGAUGCCUUGGCAGUCAGAGGCGAUGAAAGACGUGGUAGCCUGCGAAAAGCUUCGGGGAGUCGGCAAACAGACUUUGAUCCGGAGAUGUCUGAAUGGGGGAACCCAGCCAUCAUAAGAUGGUUAUCUUACGCUGAAUACAUAGGCGUAAGAGGCGAACCAGGGGAACUGAAACAUCUAAGUACCCUGAGGAAAAGAAAUCAACCGAGAUUCCCUUAGUAGUGGCGAGCGAACGGGGACUAGCCCUUAAGUGGCUUUGAGAUUAGCGGAACGCUCUGGAAAGUGCGGCCAUAGUGGGUGAUAGCCCUGUACGCGAAAAUCUCUUAGUCAUGAAAUCGAGUAGGACGGAGCACGAGAAACUUUGUCUGAAUAUGGGGGGACCAUCCUCCAAGGCUAAAUACUACUGACUGACCGAUAGUGAACUAGUACCGUGAGGGAAAGGCGAAAAGAACCCCGGAGAGGGGAGUGAAAUAGAUCCUGAAACCGUAUGCGUACAAGCAGUGGGAGCCUACUUUGUUAGGUGACUGCGUACCUUUUGUAUAAUGGGUCAGCGACUUAUUUUCAGUGGCGAGCUUAACCGAAUAGGGGAGGCGUAGCGAAAGCGAGUCUUAAUAGGGCGUCUAGUCGCUGGGAAUAGACCCGAAACCGGGCGAUCUAUCCAUGGGCAGGUUGAAGGUUGGGUAACACUAACUGGAGGACCGAACCGACUACCGUUGAAAAGUUAGCGGAUGACCUGUGGAUCGGAGUGAAAGGCUAAUCAAGCUCGGAGAUAGCUGGUUCUCCUCGAAAGCUAUUUAGGUAGCGCCUCAUGUAUCACUGUAGGGGGUAGAGCACUGUUUCGGCUAGGGGGUCAUCCCGACUUACCAAACCGAUGCAAACUCCGAAUACCUACAAGUGCCGAGCAUGGGAGACACACGGCGGGUGCUAACGUCCGUCGUGAAAAGGGAAACAACCCAGACCGUCAGCUAAGGUCCCAAAGUUAUGGUUAAGUGGGAAACGAUGUGGGAAGGCUUAGACAGCUAGGAGGUUGGCUUAGAAGCAGCCACCCUUUAAAGAAAGCGUAAUAGCUCACUAGUCGAGUCGGCCUGCGCGGAAGAUGUAACGGGGCUCAAACCAUACACCGAAGCUACGGGUAUCACGUAAGUGAUGCGGUAGAGGAGCGUUCUGUAAGCCUGUGAAGGUGAGUUGAGAAGCUUGCUGGAGGUAUCAGAAGUGCGAAUGCUGACAUGAGUAACGACAAUGGGUGUGAAAAACACCCACGCCGAAAGACCAAGGUUUCCUGCGCAACGUUAAUCGACGCAGGGUUAGUCGGUCCCUAAGGCGAGGCUGAAAAGCGUAGUCGAUGGAAAACAGGUUAAUAUUCCUGUACUUCUGGUUAUUGCGAUGGAGGGACGGAGAAGGCUAGGCCAGCUUGGCGUUGGUUGUCCAAGUUUAAGGUGGUAGGCUGAGAUCUUAGGUAAAUCCGGGAUCUUAAGGCCGAGAGCUGAUGACGAGUGUUCUUUUAGAACACGAAGUGGUUGAUGCCAUGCUUCCAAGAAAAGCUUCUAAGCUUCAGGUAACCAGGAACCGUACCCCAAACCGACACAGGUGGUUGGGUAGAGAAUACCAAGGCGCUUGAGAGAACUCGGGUGAAGGAACUAGGCAAAAUGGCACCGUAACUUCGGGAGAAGGUGCGCCGGUGAGGGUGAAGGACUUGCUCCGUAAGCUCAUGCCGGUCGAAGAUACCAGGCCGCUGCGACUGUUUAUUAAAAACACAGCACUCUGCAAACACGAAAGUGGACGUAUAGGGUGUGACGCCUGCCCGGUGCCGGAAGGUUAAUUGAUGGGGUUAGCUAACGCGAAGCUCUUGAUCGAAGCCCCGGUAAACGGCGGCCGUAACUAUAACGGUCCUAAGGUAGCGAAAUUCCUUGUCGGGUAAGUUCCGACCUGCACGAAUGGCGUAACGAUGGCGGCGCUGUCUCCACCCGAGACUCAGUGAAAUUGAAAUCGCUGUGAAGAUGCAGUGUAUCCGCGGCUAGACGGAAAGACCCCGUGAACCUUUACUAUAGCUUUGCACUGGACUUUGAAUUUGCUUGUGUAGGAUAGGUGGGAGGCUUUGAAGCGUGGACGCCAGUCUGCGUGGAGCCAACCUUGAAAUACCACCCUGGCAACUUUGAGGUUCUAACUCAGGUCCGUUAUCCGGAUCGAGGACAGUGUAUGGUGGGUAGUUUGACUGGGGCGGUCUCCUCCUAAAGAGUAACGGAGGAGUACGAAGGUGCGCUCAGACCGGUCGGAAAUCGGUCGUAGAGUAUAAAGGCAAAAGCGCGCUUGACUGCGAGACAGACACGUCGAGCAGGUACGAAAGUAGGUCUUAGUGAUCCGGUGGUUCUGUAUGGAAGGGCCAUCGCUCAACGGAUAAAAGGUACUCCGGGGAUAACAGGCUGAUACCGCCCAAGAGUUCAUAUCGACGGCGGUGUUUGGCACCUCGAUGUCGGCUCAUCACAUCCUGGGGCUGAAGCCGGUCCCAAGGGUAUGGCUGUUCGCCAUUUAAAGUGGUACGCGAGCUGGGUUUAGAACGUCGUGAGACAGUUCGGUCCCUAUCUGCCGUGGACGUUUGAGAUUUGAGAGGGGCUGCUCCUAGUACGAGAGGACCGGAGUGGACGAACCUCUGGUGUUCCGGUUGUCACGCCAGUGGCAUUGCCGGGUAGCUAUGUUCGGAAUAGAUAACCGCUGAAAGCAUCUAAGCGGGAAACUAGCCUCAAGAUGAGAUCUCACUGGAACCUUGAGUUCCCUGAAGGGCCGUCGAAGACUACGACGUUGAUAGGUUGGGUGUGUAAGCGCUGUGAGGCGUUGAGCUAACCAAUACUAAUUGCCCGUGAGGCUUGACCAUA